GUUGAUACCAGUGAAUAUUAACUAUCAGAAGACACAGCCAUCGAUGCAACCCACGACUGCUUCGCUUGGGCCAGGGCUAAGGCUUCUGCUUGAGCCUGCGCUUGCCUCUGCUGCUCAAGAAACCUGUUCAUGCGAUCGAGCAACUGUGUCGCUUUCCUCUUUCCCCUGUCGGUGCCAUUCUGCGCCAGUUCCUGCAACAGACUCAUGACUCCACACUCCUGAGCCGCAGCCAUAUGGAGGAGCUGCUGCUCACCUCCACAGAGAUGCACCAGAACGGCCGUUGCAUUCUCUCUAUUCCGAGGCGAACCGUUCCGGAUGACUUCCACAAGCACAGGCACUGCCUUGGCCGACCCUAUCGCCGC
rnacentral:misc_RNA from 1 species